AUUGAACGCUGGCGGCAGGCUUAACACAUGCAAGUCGAGCGCCCCGCAAGGGGAGCGGCGGACGGGUGAGUAACGCGUGGGAACGUGCCCUUUGCUUCGGAAUAGCCUCGGGAAACUGAGAGUAAUACCGAAUGUGCCCUACGGGGGAAAGAUUUAUCGGCAAAGGAUCGGCCCGCGUUGGAUUAGGUAGUUGGUGGGGUAACGGCCUACCAAGCCGACGAUCCAUAGCUGGUUUGAGAGGAUGAUCAGCCACACUGGGACUGAGACACGGCCCAGACUCCUACGGGAGGCAGCAGUGGGGAAUCUUAGACAAUGGGCGCAAGCCCGAUCUAGCCAUGCCGCGUGAGCGAUGAAGGCCUUAGGGUUGUAAAGCUCUUUCAGCGAGGAAGAUAAUGACUGUACUCGCAGAAGAAGCCCCGGCUAACUCCGUGCCAGCCGCCGCCGUAAAAC
rnacentral:rRNA from 1 species